GGGGCUUGAUCCCAGGACCCUGAGAUCAUGACCGGAGCCGAAGGCAGAGGCUUUAGCCCACGGAGCCACCCAGGCACCCCUGAGCUUUUUGUUUUAAUCUUGAGGUUACUUUUAUUUAGUGGUUCUGCGUGGGCUGUCUUCAGAUAACAAACACACCUAAGAGAUGCAGCUGCGAGAGUCCCACUGGAAGAAUGGCCUUUGUUCUGCAAGCGCUGGCCGCACUUCCUAUCCGGAGCCCCUGCCCACUGCAGCCUGGGCGCGUUGAGGACACUUGACUCUGUAACCAAAAGUUCUGGAGCAGUUUACACAAAUCAAAGGGAGGCUGCGUGCUUAGACCUUCGGAUUCUUUUCCUUUUUCCUUUUGGGGGAAAGUGAUAAAAAUCAUCUUCUCUGGGUCACAAAGAAUAGUUAAUCCAGGUUGGUCUUUGGAAAUGACACGCGUCGGGCACAGGCCAGACUCGAUCCUCUGCUGGUCGCGAGCCGGUCAGGACUGACUGCACGCUGGCCCGGCCUGAUCGUCGUGCUGGCGGGGGAAGGAGUGAGACUUUCCAGUUCUCCGUCAUCGCGGACAGCACAGGCUGCUUGCACAUGAACCCGACUGGCCACCACGUCGAUGUCCCUGCAGUUCAGUGUCUCUCUGUGAGCCCUCCGACCAUCAUGCAGACCGCGGUGGUGUCGGCCUGCUGACGGUGCCCCCACCCCCUGGGCCCGCCCUCCUCGGCCCCUCCCCCACACGACGGUCCCAGAGCUCUCACCAAGGUGAUCGGGGCGCUGACCCCUGACGUGUUUUCCCACCCAUCUCCUCAAGGGCUGUUGACUGGUCCUGCACGCCCCCCUGACCCAGCGUGAGGGUUUGUUCCUAAGACCAAUAGGGGCAGAAGCCUCUGGAAGGAGAUAGAAAUAAGUAAAAAUUGUAAUCCCUUGAAAAUA